rnacentral:rRNA from 1 species
GAAAGUAAAUAAGGGCGCAUGGCGGAUGCCUUGGCUCUCGGAGGCGAUGAAGGACGUGAUAAGCUGCGAUAAGCUUCGGGUAGGUGCAAAUAACCUUUGAUCCGAAGAUUUCCGAAUGGGACAACCCGGCAUUCUGAAGGAAUGUCAUCCAACCAAGUUGGAGGCUAACGCAGGGAACUGAAACAUCUUAGUACCUGCAGGAAAAGAAAAUAAAUAAUGAUUUCCCUAGUAGUGGCGAGCGAACGGGGAAUAGCCCAAACCACCCAUGUUACGGCAUGUGUGGGGUUGUAGGACCACGCUCUCGCAAGAAAGUUAUUGAGAAGAAGCGGCUGGAAAGUCGCGCCAUAGACGGUGAUAGCCCGGUAUUCUAAGGUAACUGAAGCGUAGUGGUAUCCUGAGUAGCGCGGAGCACGAGGAAUUCUGCGUGAACCAGCCGGGACCAUCCGGUAAGGCUAAAUACUCCCGAGAGACCGAUAGCGAACCAGUACUGUGAAGGAAAGGUGAAAAGCACUUCGAAUAGAAGAGUGAAAUAGUCCCUGAAACCAUGCGCCUACAAGCGGUCGGAGCAGCUUAUGCUGUGACGGCGUGCCUUUUGCAUAAUGAACCUACGAGUUACUUUUUCCGGCAAGGUUAAGCAUCUUGAGAUGUGGAUCCGAAGCGAAAGCGAGUCUGAACAGGGCGGAUAGUCGGAAGGAGUAGACGCGAAACCAAGUGAUCUACCCUUGGGCAGGUUGAAGGUUAGGUAACACUAACUGGAGGACCGAACCGAUAAGCGUUGAAAAGCUUCCGGAUGACCUGAGGGUGGGGGUGAAAGGCUAAUCAAACUUGGAGAUAGCUCGUACUCCCCGAAAUGCAUUUAGGUGCAGCCUUGAGAAUUACUAAUGUGAGGUAGAGCGACUGAUAAGAUGCGAGGGCUUCACCGCCUAUCAAGUCUUGAUAAACUCCGAAUGCGCAUUAGUUCGAUCUCAGGAGUGAGGGCAUGGGUGCUAAGGUCCAUGUCCUAAAGGAGAAGAAUCCAGACCAUCAGCUAAGGUCCCCAAAUAAACACUAAGUUGAACUAACGAAGUCAGAUUGCUAAGACAGCUAGGAUGUUGGCUUGGAAGCAGCCAUUCAUUUAAAGAGUGCGUAACAGCUCACUAGUCGAGGAGUUUGGCGUGGAUAAUAAUCGGGCAUCAAGUGUUUUACCGAAGCUAUGGGAUACGUAAGUAUCGGUAGGGGAGCAUUCCACUCUGCGUUGAAGGCGAAGCGUGAGCUUUACUGGAGCGUGUGGAAAAGCAAAUGUAGGUAUAAGUAACGAUAAAGGGGGUGAGAAACCCCCUCGCCGCAAGACUAAGGUUUCCUGAUCAACGCUAAUCGGAUCAGGGUUAGUCGGGUCCUAAGGCUCAGCCGAACGGUGAUGCCGAUGGCAGAACAGGUUAAUAUUCCUGUACUAGCAUUAAGAGUGACGUGGAGACGGAGGAGUGACAACGCCGCGGACUGACGGAAUAGUCCGUUAAAGGGUGUAGAUGUUGAUUAUCCCAGGCAAAUCCGGGAUAAGAGUCGAACCUGACAGUAUACCAAUUUCCUCGGAAAACGGUAAUAGUGCGUGUAAACAUACUCCCAAGAAAAUCCGCUAAACUUAAUCUUAAUGGUACCCGUACCGCAAACGGACACACGUAGUCGGGUUGAAUAUACUCAGGCGCUUGAGUGAAUCACGGUUAAGGAACUAGGCAAAUUGACCCUGUAACUUCGGGAUAAAGGGUCCCUACCCGGUGACGGGAGGGCGCAGAGAAUAGGUCCAGGCAACUGUUUAACAAAAACACAGGGCUGUGCAAAAUUGAAAGAUCACGUAUACAGCCUGACACCUGCCCGGUGCUGGAAGGUUAAGAGGAGAUGUCAUCGCAAGAGAAGCAUUGAAUUGAAGCCCCAGUAAACGGCGGCCGUAACUAUAACGGUCCUAAGGUAGCGAAAUUCCUUGUCGGGUAAGUUC